AGAGUUUGAUCCUGGCUCAGAAUGAACGUUGGCGGCGUGGAUUAGGCAUGCAAGUCGCACGAGAAGCUCUUCUUGCUUGCAUUAGGAGCGGACAGUGGCGAAAGGGAGAGUAACGCGUGGAUACUUACCCCGGGGUCCGGGAUAGCUGAGGGAAACUUCAGGUAAUACCGGAUAACGUUUCCGAACCAAAGGUGUGAUUCCGCCUUGGGAUAGGUCCGCGUCCUACUAGCUUGUUGGUGAGGUAAUGGCUCACCAAGGCCAAGAUGGGUAGCGGGUGUGAGAGCAUGGCCCGUCUCACUGGGACUGAGACACUGCCCAGACACCUACGGGUGGAUGCAGUCGAGAAUCUUCCGCAAUGGGCGAAAGCCUGACGGAGCGACGCCGCGUGCGGGAUGAAGGCCCUCGGGUUGUAAACCGCUGUCAGUUGGGAGGAAAUGCAUAGGGGCACUCUCCUAUGUUUGACCGAUCUUCAGAGGAAGUCCGGGCUAAGUUCGUGCCAGCAGCCGCGGUAAGACGAACCGGACGAACGUUAUUCGGAAUCACUGGGCUUAAAGGGUACGUAGGCGGCUUCGUAGGUUGGGUGUGAAAUCCCACGGCUCAACCGUGGAACUGCGCUCAGAACCACGAGGCUUGAGGGAAGCAGAGGUAAGCGGAACUGAUGGUGGAGCGGUGAAAUGCGUUGAUAUCAUCAGGAACACCAGUGGCGAAGGCGGCUUACUGGGCUUCUUCUGACGCUGAGGUACGAAAGCUAGGGUAGCGAACGGGAUUAGAUACCCCGGUAGUCCUAGCUGUAAACGAUGAGCACUUGGUCGAGGGGACCUCCACAUCUUCUCGGCCGUAGCGAAAGCGUUAAGUGCUCCGCCC
rnacentral:rRNA from 1 species